CAAUUCAAUAUUCUCUUUUCUGUUUUAUUCUCCCUUAUAUCAGAAAGGGAACAGAAGAAUGAGAAAAGGAAUUGGAGCGCAUUUCAGGCAUUUAUUCCCUCCAGUCAUCAGAAGACACCAGGCAAGGGAGAUGGGAACUGCCAUGAAGAACCAAUGCCCCACUUGUAGUUUUCUGGAUCAUGCACACAGGUUCCUAUAUUAAGGGUUACUGAGCAAACUGAGACAGGAGUUUUGGUACAAGGCCCCCCUCUGACUCCAUGCAUUUUCAAGCAAAUAAAUACGCCACAUAUACUAUGAGAUUAAUAGAUUCCACCUGCACUGCAUUUAACAUGCAGCUAGGAAGAUGGACACAAGGAAAGUAAAGGUGCCCAUUUUCUCCCCAACACACACUUUGUCUGCAGACUAUAUCUCAA